GUUGAUUUCACACUGCCGAGAAAAGCCUCUAGAUAGAAAAUAGGUGCCCGUACCGCAAACCGACACAGGUAGUCAAGAUGAGAAUUCUAAGGUGAGCGAGCGAACUCUCGUUAAGGAACUCGGCAAAAUGACCCCGUAACUUCGGGAGAAGGGGUGCUCUUUAGGGUUAACGCCCAGAAGAGCCGCAGUGAAUAGGCCCAAGCGACUGUUUAUCAAAAACACAGGUCUCUGCUAAACCGUAAGGUGAUGUAUAGGGGCUGACGCCUGCCCGGUGCUGGAAGGUUAAGAGGAGUGGUUAGCUUCUGCGAAGCUACGAAUCGAAGCCCCAGUAAACGGCGGCCGUAACUAUAACGGUCCUAAGGUAGCGAAAUUCCUUGUCGGGUAAGUUCCGACCCGCACGAAAGGCGUAACGAUUUGGGCACUGUCUCAACGAGAGACUCGGUGAAAUCAUAGUACCUGUGAAGAUGCAGGUUACCCGCGACAGGACGGAAAGACCCCGUGGAGCUUUACUGUAGCCUGAUAUUGAAAUUCGGCACAGCUUGUACAGGAUAGGUAGGAGCCUUUGAAACGUGAGCGCUAGCUUACGUGGAGGCGCUGGUGGGAUACUACCCUAGCUGUGUUGGCUUUCUAACCCGCACCACUUAUCGUGGUGGGAGACAGUGUCAGGCGGGCAGUUUGACUGGGGCGGUCGCCUCCUAAAAGGUAACGGAGGCGCUCAAAGGUUCCCUCAGAAUGGUUGGAAAUCAUUCAUAGAGUGUAAAGGCAUAAGGGAGCUUGACUGCGAGACCUACAAGUCGAGCAGGGUCGAAAGACGGACUUAGUGAUCCGGUGGUUCCGCAUGGAAGGGCCAUCGCUCAACGGAUAAAAGCUACCCCGGGGAUAACAGGCUUAUCUCCCCCAAGAGUUCACAUCGACGGGGAGGUUUGGCACCUCGAUGUCGGCUCAUCGCAUCCUGGGGCUGUAGUCGGUCCCAAGGGUUGGGCUGUUCGCCCAUUAAAGCGGUACGCGAGCUGGGUUCAGAACGUCGUGAGACAGUUCGGUCCCUAUCCGUCGUGGGCGUAGGAAAUUUGAGAGGAGCUGUCCUUAGUACGAGAGGACCGGGAUGGACAUACCUCUGGUGUACCAGUUGUCGUGCCAACGGCAUAGCUGGGUAGCUAUGUGUGGACGGGAUAAGUGCUGAAAGCAUCUAAGCAUGAAGCCCCCCUCAAGAUGAGAUUUCCCAACUUCGGUUAUAAGAUCCCUCAAAGAUGAUGAGGUUAAUAGGUUCGAGGUGGAAGCAUGGUGACAUGUGGAGCUGACGAAUACUAAUCGAUCGAAGACUUAAUC
rnacentral:rRNA from 1 species